AGGAAGUAGGUCUACAUAGUGCCUCUUCUUCGCCCAUAUUGGAUACAGGUGUUGUUUACAGUAUCAAUAAUAAAGCUAGAAAAUGACAUGUAGUAGCCUAGGCUGGAAUUAAUUAAGUCAACCUCGCCAGUGAGCUUAUCUUCGAGGUCAGCACUCAUACAAUGAUUAGCUAACUUCGGAUGUUUACAGAGGGGUGAAAGAGCACUUGUAAAUUUGUCCGAUGAACUCUCAAACUGGUGAAAGAGACUGGGUAUAUUCAACUGAAAUUGGAAAUACUUGCAUUAUCUGUAAUGGACCCAUUUGACGCCACCUCUCCGCGCAAGGUUCUGGAGCGAGUCUCUACUCUGCUGGGAUGCAGCCCGACAUCGAAUGAAGUAGCCACAUAUCUAGACAAUCACGACGAACUAAAGCACCUACGUGAACAGUUUCUAUUACCCAAAGUUGCAGAACUCCCUCCUUCUGACCUUACGCUUGUGGAUGGCACCAAGCAAUGCAUUUACUUUGUGGGGAACUCACUUGGCCUCCAGCCCAAAAUGGCCAAGAAGUACAUCGACGAGGAGUUGGAUAAAUGGGCUAAAACGUAAGUUGUUCCCCCAACGUUUCC